AAAGAUCAUUAACGAACAACGGGGUUCGCCCCUUGUCCACAAACACACCCCCGUGCACGUUGAAGGCCCGGCUCGUUGAGUGGGUGGGCGACCGCCCAGGAUUCGUAGCCUCGCUUUCUUACACAAACUUCAGAAUGUACAUCAGAAUGUCUUACGCGUGUAACGCAUCGUAAUAUAACUUUCAGCAACGGAUCUCUUGGCUCUCGCAUCGAUGAAGAACGCAGCGAAAUGCGAUAAGUAAUGUGAAUUGCAGAAUUCAGUGAAUCAUCGAAUCUUUGAACGCACCUUGCGCUCCUUGGCAUUCCGAGGAACAUGCCUGUUUGAGUGUCAUGAAACUCUCAACCCCUGCCAUCUUUGCGGAUGAGCGUCGGUUGGAUUUUGGAGGUUGCCGGACUCGUUCGGCUCCCCUUGAAAGCAUAGUAAAGCUUGGACCUGACCGACCGGGUGGACGUGAUAGAAAGUCACCGUCGACCGAAGGGUCCGUCGCUGAACGGUUCAAGCUUUGUUUGUCGUCUUCGGACGCACAUCUCUACCU
rnacentral:rRNA from 1 species